UACGUAGGGUGCGAGCGUUGUCCGGAAUUAUUGGGCGUAAAGAGCUCGUAGGCGGUUCGUCGCGUCGGCUGUGAAAACCCGGAGCUCAACUCCGGGCCUGCAGUCGAUACGGGCGGACUAGAGUACUGCAGGGGAGACUGGAAUUCCUGGUGUAGCGGUGGAAUGCGCAGAUAUCAGGAGGAACACCGGUGGCGAAGGCGGGUCUCUGGGCAGUAACUGACGCUGAGGAGCGAAAGCGUGGGGAGCGAACAGG
rnacentral:rRNA from 1 species